CCACCUGGAAGUGCUGCGGGCGGUGACUGUCACCACCUCUGACCCCAGCCCCGUCCCUGCUGCAUCCUCCCUCUCCGACUGGGCUUUCUGUGAGUGUCCAUGAGAAGAACUUAGCAGGGGCAGAAGUCAGAAGACCUAAUUGUCGCCUGUCCCCGUACUAGUGUGUGGCCUUACGUUCCUUAACCACGCUGAGCCUCUGAGUCCUCGUUACAGUGACAAUACUGACGCACAUCUCACCCAUGAGGCAGGUCCAGUGAGACAGGAUUAUCGUACAGAAAAGCAGGCUCCACAGACAGGGGUGCUGAUAACUUUAUAUUCAGCUUUGUCAGGAUAAUUCCUGAUUUGUUAUGGAGAAUCGUUUCCAAGAGAGCAAAGGAGGACAGUCAGGAGACCGUUACACUACUCCAGCCCAGCCAUGGAUUCCACAGUCUGGAUGACAUCAGUUACUACCUUCUUAAAGAGGUGCUGCUCAUCAAGAAGAUGGGAACCAUUCAGCGAUUCUAAGAAAGAGCUCAGGAUCUUUGACACUUAUGGAGGAUGUAGUCAUCAUUUACCACACUGUCAUCUUCCCCCUUCUGUCCACAUGGCAAUGCUGACGCCUGUGUUGGCAAUAUGACAGAUGACAAUAAAGAUCGACAUGGGAACAGCUUUA